rnacentral:lncRNA from 1 species
GCAAUGCCCGCACUUCCGGACCCCAGACUCUUCCUACGGCGACUGACACCUCAGACACGCGUUGUGGGGGGCGGCGCUCUGGCUCCGGGGCUGUGCCCAGCGCGAGCGUGGCCGGCACCCACUUGCUGCAGAGCCGGCACUGCACUGGGGUUCUUGGGGGCGGCUCCUCCAGACGUCUCUGCGGGUUGUCGGGUGCUGCCGAGUUGGGUUGGGGGACGCUACAGGUAGUGGGUCCGGAGCAGCGGCUGGCCCCUCAUCUCACUGCCCUUCCUCGGACCCCACCGUCCUCUGGAAGCUUGUGCAGGGCACCUGCCACUGUGACCACCUGGACGCAGAUACCUGCUUUCCCACAACAGCAAGGAAGAACCAUGGCCCAGGGGUCACUGUCAUUCGGGGACGUGGCUGUGGGCUUCACCCGGAAAGAGUGGCAGCAGCUGGACCUGGAGCAGAGGACCCUGUACCAGGAUGUGAUGCUGGAGAACUACAGCCACCUGCUCUCUGUGGGCUGAACUGUCUGCUUGCUUGGAAGGCCCAGCUGGCUCAGCACAAAUCCUUUAACCGUUUCUCCCCAAGAGGGUGUCAAGUCAGCAAACCAGCUGUGAUCUCCAGUUUGGAGCAGGGGAAGGAGCCAUGGAUGGAGGAGGAAGAGAUAAGGACGUGGAGCUUCCCAGAAAGCUGACUUCAUGAGACCGAGGAUCUCGUUCGUUGAUCGAUGCUACAUAUUCAGCAUGUUAGAUAAUGAGGUUGGUGAGAUUGAUGAAAUCCCGCCCACCAGGGCCGACCCACAAAGA